CCUCCCUUCCCCUGCAGCCCCUCCAUUUCUCCCUCCCUUCCCCUGCAGCCCCCCCAUUUCUCUUCCCCCUUCCUGUGCAGCUCCUCCAUUUCUCCAACUCCUUCCUGUCACAUCCUGCUCCUGUUGCGGAUCAUUUCUGUCUUGGCUUCCGAUAUCCAGUACUCUGUUUACAAUUCUUGUUUAGUUUUUCUUCUUUUUUCUGGUUUUCUAUUCUAUGUCUAGUUUUCUUUAUGC